rnacentral:rRNA from 1 species
AAUCAACGCUGGCGGCGUGCCUCAGACAUGCAAGUCGAACGCGAAACCUUCCUUCGGGAGGGGAGUAGAGUGGCGCACGGGUGAGUAACACGUAGGUAAUCUACCUUUGGGUGGGGAAUAACAGCCGGAACGGCUGCUAAUACCGCAUAAUGCAGCGGCUCGACAUCGAGACAGUUGUUAAAGCGGGGGAUCGUAAGACCUCGCGCCUAAAGAGGAGCCUGCGGCAGAUAGCUAGUUGGUAAGGUAACGGCUUACCAAGGCGACGAUCUGUAGCCGGCCUGAGAGGGCGGUCGGCCACACUGACACUGACAUACGGGUCAGACUCCUACGGGAGGCAGC